UACGGAGGGUGCAAGCGUUAUCCGGAUUCACUGGGUUUAAAGGGUGCGUAGGCGGGUAAGUAAGUCCGUGGUGAAAUCUCUGAGCUUAACUCAGAAACUGCCGUGGAUACUAUUUGCCUUGAAUAUUGUGGAGGUGAGCGGAAUAUGUCAUGUAGCGGUGAAAUGCUUAGAUAUGACAUAGAACACCAAUUGCGAAGGCAGCUCACUACACAAUCAUUGACUGACGUGAGCGAAAGCGUGGGGAUCAAACAGG
rnacentral:rRNA from 1 species